UACAGAGGGUGCGAGCGUUAAUCGGAAUUACUGGGCGUAAAGCGUGCGCAGGCGGUUUGUUAAGUCCGUUGUGAAAGCCCCGAGCUCAACUUGGGAAUUGCAGUGGAUACUGGCAGGCUGGAGUACGGUAGAGGAAGGUGGAAUUCCCGGUGUAGCAGUGAAAUGCGUAGAUAUCGGGAGGAACACCAGUGGCGAAGGCGGCCUUCUGGACCAGUACUGACGCUCAUGCACGAAAGCGUGGGGAGCAAACAGG
rnacentral:rRNA from 1 species